GAGAAUGACUCUCAAUACAAUGCUUCCUUCUCGCUCUCGCCAUCAGAGGACUCUGGGAGCAAAAAGUUUUCGAACUCUAAUAGUUUUGAAAAACUCAAGGCGACAAUUACUCUGAAACGUAAGAGCACAAGUAAAGUUGUUCAAGUCCAGCCUGUGAGUGACAGUCGAGACGUCGCGGAGAGUUCGCUUCAGGUAGAACGGGCUUUCCAAGAUAAAAGCGCCAGCAAGCUGUUUGUGACGAACGUACAAAAUGAGACGUCUUUCCUGAAUU